AGGAGUAGGCCUACUGUGAACGUGGAUUUUAUUGAUAUUAUUGUUCGUUGAAUCAGGAUUAAAUUUCUCAUAAUCUACCACUUGUAGAUCUGUGUUGGUGCAUUAUUAAAGAGUCUCAACUGCUCGUAACAAGUGGCCCUAAACGUGAAGGUAAAACCCAUGCAAGGGCGGAUUGGACAAAGGUCACUUUAAAUGUCACUGUCAGUGAACAUACUCUUGUGAAUCUGAAAUGGGACUCUGUACUUAAAAGUUAGAAAGUAGCCUUGAUGUUUUGAUUUAGUUAUGUUUACAACAGUUUUUAGAAUUAGAUCCACUGUUACCAAAAUUGAUUCACAGAUGGAUUGCAAUUGCAAGUCUAAAGUGAAUUAUAUGUGAGCUUGCGCUCCCAGAGCUAUAUUUUUAUAUAUUUUAUUUUUAUAGGCUAGUGCCAAACUUAUUUGUACUUCCGCUUUUUGUGUAUAAAAAGUGAUGCCACGCUGUUUUAAAACAGUUCAGUGUACAGUUGACCAGUGGUCAGCACCAUAUCUGUCUGUGUGACAGCUGAAUAUCGUUGUGGUCUGUCGUCUAAUUAUAUUUUUAUUUCUGUACCUGGGACGGCCUGUAAGUGUAGAAAUAUUUUAUAUUUUUUACUAGAUCUAUACUAUGUGUAAGGUAGUUAUUUUAUUUUCUACUUGGACUAUUUGUCAUAAUAGUUGGCAACAUGCUGUACGGAAGAUGGCGGCGUCCAUCAGUCCUAAUAGAAUAUAGAUCUAAUAUAGUUUUGCAUUUAUGUAUUGCAGGCUAUUGUUACUGCUGUGUUACUGCUUUUAACUGCUGCCUUUUAGCUGCUGAAUAUUACUGCUUAUAGAUCUAGCUGUUGUUUAUAACUGCUGUUGUUAGAUCUAUUCUAAUUCUAGGGAAUCUAGGAUCUAGUGUUAUUUUUCUUUAUUAUCGCCUUAGUAAACUUAGUUAUAUUUAUAGUCUGUUUCUCAGUUCUGUUCUUAGUGAAUAGUAAGGUACUGAGCCUAAGGAUAAGAUAUUCUUGUUUUAGUGUUAGUGUUAUGAGUGAAAUAGUAGGAUAUUGUAGAUCUAGGCUAGUUUAUUGUAGUGUGUUUAUUGUAGAUCUAGGUCUAGUGACUAGUGUAGUAGUUUUGGUGAUUAAGUUAGAUAGUUGUUUUGAUCAGUUUGUGUCAGAUAGUUAGUUUGGUAGUGUUUGUAGUGGUGUAGAUUUAGAGGGUAGUUUAUAGUGGUUAGUGUAUAUAUUAUAUUUUAUUAUUAUUUGAUUCCAUGUAAAUAAAGUUUCAUUUUGUUUAUUUAUACUAAACUAAAGUUUGUUAUCUUGUUUCCAUUUAGUUUAGUUUAGUAUGUCUGGUUACUUAGGUGACUCUAGCCCCUUGGUCGUAGACUGAGGUGUCACAGAUGAGCCCACCCAGUAGCGCAAACAUCUGCCUACUGUUGGUAAAUUUUAAUGUUGAGCAGCAGAGAAUAGGUCCUUUCUCUAUCCACUUGCGCCUGCCUGAUCUGCUCACAUUUUUGGUGUCAGAAGUGGGAUCUGUGCUUGAGUGACCAGACUUGUAUUUUUUAUUGGUAGAUAGAUUAGGUUUGCGUAGGAGUUUAGGCAUUGAUAGGCGGUAUAGAUAGUGUUAGUUUAGUUGUUUUUUUGGUAUUGUUAUUGAGAGGUUAUUAGGCUUUAGUUUUGUUGAGUAGUUACGUAGAUGAACAGCGAGGCAGCAGCAGCAGCAAGAAUGCAGCCGUCUCAGACAAUGAUCUUGGUGCCUAGGACAGAGAUGAGUAUCCGGCGCUUCCAUGGUGAUGGUCCUGCCAGGGAAAUUGAAGAGUUCCUUCAAAAUGUUGAGAGAGCUUGGAAGUCUCAACACAUGGUGCAUCCAGAGGAAAAAUGUGACUUCCUCUUUGCACAUCUAGGUGAGGCAGUGAAGGCCGAACUUAGGUGUCACCCUCAGACGACAAGGGCAUGCCCAGAUGCCCUUGUACAAGUUCUACGCUCCACCUAUGGAGAAAGGCGGAGCGUCAACUGUCUGAUUGGGCAGCUGUUCCGAAUAAGCCAGCACCAGUAUGAGUCUGUCCGCACUUACUCACACCGUCUCCUUCAGGCAUUUGAAGCACUCACAGACAGGCAGAGAGCUCUAUCUGAAACUCCCUUCAGCGAGUCUAUCCUGAGGGACCAGUUUGUAGAAAACCUCAGUGACAGGACCCUAAGGAGAGACCUGCGAGAGAGACUACUUGACAGGCCAGAAACUGAAUUCUUGGCGUUAAGAGACAUGGCCAUCAGGUGGGCCCAGGACGAGAAUGUCGCACCGCAAGUCAACGUCACAUGCAGUGAGAUAAAGAUUGAAGGCCAGCUAGCUGCGCUCUCCAAGCAAGUGGAGGAGCUUGCAGCCCAGAUUGUGCUCCUACAACUUUCGGGACCACAGAACUCUAACUGUCCCCACUGCAACCACCAUCAACCUGAUCACAUUAGCGGCAAUGUGAGACAGGUUACCUCACAACAGCGCGUGGAGACAAAUCGCACUCUUUACCAUAAGAGGCUAGCUACGAAGAACAGGAAAUGCUACACAUGUGGCAAACCUGGCCAUCUUGCAAGAAAUUGCAGGCUGCAGAACAGGUUCCAAGGUCAGCGAAAGAAGCCAGGGAACCGGGCUCACCAGCAACACCCUUCUAGAAGCAACUGCUUGAAUUGUGGAAGCCGGGACCAUUUCACCCGAGCUUGCCUGAUGUCACUGCAGCAGUGAAUCACGUUUAGGUUGCCUCAGUGGAACAACCACAGGCAGUACAACUACAACCUGCCCCCAAGCCAACAGAAUUGUCGGUUGAGGUGCCACAGAAUCCUAGGCGAUCCAACACUGCUCCUGAUUCAAUUGUUCGCAGAAGCCAACCCGCAGCGGCAGAAAUGAUGUCGAUUCAUACAGAAGUUGCCUCACCUGACACUUCCAGUAAUCAUGCAGAAGGUGGUAGGGAAACAAAUCCUUUCCUACAGUUUCAUCCGGUCCAACCAGAAUCCACCUUGCUUUCCCAUGAGGUUCCUGAGUUGCAGAAGAAAAGGAACGACCUUCUGAACAUUGGGUGCAGAGUUCUUGUGGAACACAGAGUCAGAGGCCAGGGAAGAAUGUUCAUGCAGUAUGAACCCUCGUGUUUUGUAAUUACUGCAGUACCCAAGUAUGCUUCUGGCUGGUACAUGGUAGAAGCAGAAGAUGGGAGUACAUACAGAUAUGUACGAGAGGAGGAAAUGAAGUUUGUUUCCUCACCAUACUAGCACAAUUCUUCAUUUGUAUAUUUGUAAUUUUUAUUUAAUAUGUUGGUUGCAUUCCAAUGUAUCAAGAUGUAUUAGUUUGUAAUAACUCUAUGAGUACAUGUUAUCUACAUGUGUAUUUGAAAGCUUUUUUUCAAAAGCUUAGUAGUUGCUAAACCUAUUUCAGAAUGUACAGAAUCAAGAGUAUUUUCUUGUGUUUUUAGCUGAUGAAGUGUAUAUUUUUUUUUGCUUUUGUCCUUGUAAAGAAAUAUAAUUUAAGUCAUGUCAUGGAGAUGUAUAUUUUUGUGUGAAAUCGAUUUUAGUGUGUAUUUUCUUUGAUGGUAUAAUAUGUCAGCAGUAUGUAUGUAAUGCAUUUUAAGUAGUUUGUUAGUAUUUUGUUUUGCGAGGACGCAAAAAUUUAAGGCGGGAUGAAUGUGAGCUUGCGCUCCCAGAGCUAUAUUUUUAUAUAUUUUAUUUUUAUAGGCUAGUGCCAAACUUAUUUGUACUUCCGCUUUUUGUGUAUAAAAAGUGAUGCCACACUGUUUUAAAACAGUUCAGUGUACAGUUGACCAGUGGUCAGUACCAUAUCUGUCUGUGUGACAGCUGAAUAUCGUUGUGGUCUGUCGUCUAAUUAUAUUUUUAUUUCUGUACCUGGGACGGCCUGCUAUUGUUACUGCUGUGUUACUGCUUUUAACUGCUGCCUUUUAGCUGCUGAAUAUUACUGCUUAUAGAUCUAGCUGUUGUUUAUAACUGCUGUUGUUAGAUCUAUUCUAAUUCUAGGGAAUCUAGGAUCUAGUGUUAUUUUUCUUUAUUAUCGCCUUAGUAAACUAUAGUUAUAUUUAUAGUCUGUUUCUCAGUUCUGUUCUUAGUGAAUAGUAAGGUACUGAGCCUAAGGAUAAGAUAUUCUUGUUUUAGUGUUAGUGUUAUGAGUGAAAUAGUAGGAUAUUGUAGAUCUAGGCUAGUUUAUUGUAGUGUGUUUAUUGUAGAUCUAGGUCUAGUGUAGUAGUUUUGGUGAUUUAGUUAGAUAGUUGUUUUGAUCAGUUUGUGUCAGAUAGUUAGUUUGGUAGUGUUUGUAGUGGUGUAGAUUUAGAGGGUAGUUUAUAGUGGGUAGUGUAUAUAUUAUAUUUUAUUAUUAUUUGAUUCCAUGUAAAUAAAGUUUCAUUUUGUUUAUUUAUACUAAACUAAAGUUUGUUAUCUUGUUUCCAUUUAGUUUAGUUUAGUAUGUCUGGUUACUUAGGUGGCUCUAGCCCCUUGGUCGUAGACUGAGGUGUCACAGAUGAGCCCACCCAGUAGCGCAAACAUCUGCCUACUGUUGGUAAAUUUUAAUGUUGAGCAGCAGAGAAUAGGUCCUCUCUCUAUCCACUUGCGCCUGCCUGACCUGCUCACAUAUAUAAUUGGG